rnacentral:piRNA from 1 species
UGAGCCAGGAGAGCUUGGCUGAGCCAGA